rnacentral:rRNA from 1 species
GACGAACGCUGGCGGCGUGCUUAACACAUGCAAGUCGAACGGUGAAGUAGAGCUUGCUCUAUGGAUCAGUGGCGAACGGGUGAGUAACACGUGGGCAACCUGCCCCAGACUCUGGGAUAACUCUUCGAAAGAGGGGCUAAUACCGGAUAUUCGACGAGGUAGUCAUCUACUUCGCCGGAAAGAAUUUCGGUCUGGGAUGGGCCCGCGGCCUAUCAGCUUGUUGGUGAGGUAACGGCUCACCAAGGCAACGACGGGUAGCCGGCCUGAGAGGGCGACCGGCCACACUGGGACUGAGACACGGCCCAGACUCCUACGGGAGGCAGCAGUGGGGAAUAUUGGUCAAUGGACGAAAGUCUGAACCAGCAACGCCGCGUGAGGGAUGAAGGUCUUCGGAUUGUAAACCCCUUUCAGCAGGGACGAAGCGAAAGUGACGGUACCUGCAGAAGAAGCACCGGCUAACUACGUGCCAGCCGCCGCAGUAA